AUUUGACUCAACACGGGAAAUCUUACCGGGUCCGGACGUAUCGAGGAUUGACAGAUAGUUAUACAUGCCCUACAAGCAAGUAGGAGUCAGGUUUUAAACCUAAUGGCUCUUUCAUGAUUAUAUGAUAGGUGGUGCAUGGCCGUUCUUAGUUCGUGGAGUGAUCUGUCUGCUUAAUUGCGUUUCAAAUUUUUAACCGAGGACCGGGUUUUGGUUUGGCUAGUGGUCCUACGAUGACUGUGAACUGUCAUGUCUUCGGAUGUACGACUAUCGGUCUAGGAUCACAUGACUUGCCCCUGGGACUCUUUUGAACGCAACGGACGUGAUUGCAACCCCUUGUUGAGAUUAGAGAUAGUCUCGAUAUUCACUGGCCAAACUGGCUGCUUUAUGCAGUCUUGUUGAAUGGUGGAUAAACUCGGGGGACUGCUGACUAUAACCAUUUCUCAAAACAGAGGAAGGUUGCGGCAAUAACAGGUCUGUGAUG
rnacentral:rRNA from 1 species